CCUACGGGGGGCAGCAGUGAGGAAUAUUGGUCAAUGGGCGCGAGCCUGAACCAGCCAAGUAGCGUGAAGGAUGACUGCCCUACGGGUUGUAAACUUCUUUUAUAAAGGAAUAACGUGAGGCACGUGUGCCUUUUUGUAUGUACUUUAUGAAUAAGGAUCGGCUAACUCCGGGCCAGCAGCCGCGGUAAUACGGAGGAUCGGGGCGUUUUCCGGAAUUAUUGGGGUUAAAGGGUGCGUAAACGGAAGAACAAGUUGGUUGUGAAAUCCCUCGGCUCAACUGAGGAACUGCAACCAAAACUAGUCGCCUUGAGUGUCGGAGAGGAAAGUGGAAUGCGUAGUGUAGCGGUGAAAUGCGUAGAUAUUAGGAGGAACACCAGUGGUGAAGGCGACUUUCUGGACGAUAACUGACGUUGAGGCACGAAAGUGUGGGGAGCAAACAGGAUUAGAUACCCGGGUAGUC
rnacentral:rRNA from 1 species